UCUUCAUCACCACAUUCACUCAUCUCUCUCUCUCUCUCUCUCCCUCUUUCUCUUCCUUGAUCUCAGCCGGAUCUGAUGGGGGACGAACACAGGAGAGAUAGAAAAAUAUAUAAGAAAUUUCAAAAAAAAAAAACCCUAAUUGUAAAGGAUAGAGGGAUUUCUCUUUUGAGGGGACUGUUGUCUGGCUCGAGGACUCUUGUUCUAAUACAAUCUCAUUAUUUGGAUAGUUUCAGAUCUGAUGAUUGAUUAGGGCUUUGGUGUCGUCGGACCAGGCUUCAUUCCCCCCAAUUAUUACUCCCUCUCAAUCCGAACCAACGAAGAAGUUUCGUCCCUUUUUUCAGCUUUUUUAACUAGGGUUUCCAUUUUUCUCUAUCCAAUCUAUAAUUAGUUCAAUGUGCAAAAAAGUUUUUGUUUAAAACUUUUUCCGUAUACGUCUUCUAGAUCUUCUGAGUUUCAGGUGGGUUUUGAUUCUUUUUUUUUGUUUGUUACAGAUUGGUGUAAUGAUGAAGGAAUCUGACUCAGGAACGAGUUAGCAUUCAGAGAGUAGAUCUAUUCAUGGUUGUUAUUAAUGAUGAGGGUUAUUUUAGUUUCAGAUCCUCUAAAACUAAACCAGAUCUACUAGAUCUGAAAGCUAGAUCUGAAUCUUUCAAACGAGUACUAUACUAUAUUUAUGUUUCUUGUUGGUACACAACUCCUAGACUAGGGUUUCGUCAUUCCAUUAACCAUAUCUAGCUACUUCAAAUUUUGAUAAUGAUAAUUAAAGUUUCUAGAUUCCCACAUUUCCUUCUUUUCUUUCAGGGUGAUUGUUUUGUUCUAUUCACACUAACACUUUGCCUUCAGCAGUUUCUUCAAGCAUGGAUGGACGAUCAAGAAACUUAAUCGGAUAUUUUCACAUUUUCCAAUAUUGUAAUAUGUAAUAAUGUUGUUCUGUCUAUUCGUUGGAUUAACUUAUCCUAUACCAUAGUCACUUAUGUAUUUAUUUUUAUUUUUUUUUGAACGUAAGACGAAUUUUAAUACAUCACCCAGUAUCAGGAA